UACAGAGGUCCCAAGCGUUAGGCGGAAUCACUGGGCGUAAAGGGUGCGUAGGUGGUGAGGUAAGUCGGAUGUGAAAGCUCGGAGCUCAACUCCGAAAUGGCAUUGGAAACUACCUUGCUCGAGGGUUGGAGGGGGGACUGGAAUGCUUGGUGUAGCAGUGAAAUGCGUAGAUAUCGAGAGGAACACCAGUGGCGAAGGCGAGUCCCUGGACAAAACCUGACACUGAGGCACGAAAGCUAGGGGAGCAAACAGG
rnacentral:rRNA from 1 species